rnacentral:rRNA from 1 species
CCUACGGGGGGCUGCAGUGAGGAAUAUUGGUCAAUGGGCGAGAGCCUGAACCAGCCAAGUCGCGUGAAGGAUGACGGCCCUACGGGUUGUAAACUUCUUUUGUCAGGGAGCACUUGGGUCCACGCGUGGGCUUAGCGAGAGUACCUGAAGAAAAAGCAACGGCUAACUCGGUGCCAGCAGCCGCGGUAAGACGGAGGAUGCGAGCGUUAUACGAAUGUAUUGGGUUAAAGGGGUGCGUAGGCGGAAUAUAAAGUAAGCGGUAAAAAUUCGGGGCUCAACCGCGUCGUGCCGGUGAAACUGAUGUUCUUGAGUGGGCUAGAAGUGUGCAGAAUGCCUGGUGUAGCGGUGAAAUGCAUAGAUAUCACGAGGAACUCCGAUUGCGAAGGCAGCAUACCGGCGCCCAACUGACGCUGAGGCGCGAAAGCGUGGGUAUCGAACAGGAUUAGAUACCCUAGUAGUC